CAGAAGAAGAAGAGCAGAAAAAUGCUAAAGAUGGAUCCAAAUGGGUCAAAACUGAUUCCGAGUAUAUUGUUCUUGAGAUAUAAUUCCAUCUCCUUUUCUAACCAAUUACCCAUCCAACUGAUUUGAACAAGAUAUUCAAACUCCACCCUUUGAUUUGAUGAUAUGGAUCCAACAGUUGAGAUGUUGUUCAUCACAGCAAAAAUAUAGAUCUGAUCGACGGUGCUGAUUACUCCUUUUUUUUCAUGGUUGUUUGUUACCAAAACAGUGCAACUCAUGUUAUGAUACAUCGUCAAAAGAGAUUCUAUGAUGACAGAGCUUUACAUUUUUCACUUUAUUUUACCAUAUAAUUCUUCUCCUUCUUUAAUGUUGGGGUCUCUCUUUGUAACAUAUUCGAGGCGAAUAACAUUUUGUAUUGUUAUAAAGUU